AUGACGGUCCGCCGGGAACGGCGGUCAAAAGAGAAGCAGGGUGAGAAUCCCUCACAACCACCAUUACCGUAUGGGAUGAAACCGGCGCCGAGGCCAUUGGAACGCACGUUCUGAGAAGGGGGCGCCGGGCGGCCGAGCGCCUGUGUCCCGAAGCCGGGAGAACUGCCGUCACCG
rnacentral:ncRNA from 1 species